rfam:Penicillium brasilianum genome assembly, contig: SCAF7
GGUAAGAUGGCCGAGUUGGUCUAAGGCGUCAGGUUAAGGUCCACCUUAACAUAAAAUCCUGAUCUCGUUUACGGGGCGUGAGUUCGAAUCUCACUCUUAUCA